rnacentral:rRNA from 1 species
CAUAGCCGCGGGAAUACGUAGGUGGCAAGCGUUGUCCGGAAUUAUUGGGCGUAAAGGGCUCGCAGGCGGUUUCUUAAGUCUGAUGUGAAAGCCCCCGGCUCAACCGGGGAGGGUCAUUGGAAACUGGGAAACUUGAGUGCAGAAGAGGAGAGUGGAAUUCCACGUGUAGCGGUGAAACGCGUAGAGAUGUGGAGGAACACCAGUGGCGAAGGCGACUCUCUGGUCUGUAACUGACGCUGAGGAGCGAAAGCGUGGGGAGCGAACAGGAUUAGAUACCCCAGUAGUCCCUGUCUCUUAUACA